UCCACACACAGGUAUACCCAUGCAUAUUUGUGUGCAUGCACAUACAUGUACACACACACACACACACACCUCUACCACCACCAACACCACCACCACUGGCUGAACACAGGAGAAACUCUGGAAGGUAGUUAAGUUAUUUAAAGUUGAUGAGCUAGAGAGGAGAAUAGAAAGUGACACAGAAGAGGCUUGGACAACCCAAGAGUGUUUUUUUCUUACACACACACACACACACACACACACACACACACGCAGACACACACAUGCACGCACACAUACGCAUGCACACGCACACACGCACAGUGGCUCUGAGGCACACCAGCAGCCUGGCCUUAGAUACACGAAAAGGUGGGCUAUGGCCAACUCAAGCAAGUCACCUCCAGCCCCUCCUGCCUCUUCCCAAAGCAGCUCUGGCAAACAUCUUCUUGCGCCUUGCUGAUGCUGGCUCGCGUGGAAGCUCAGAAUCGUGACUCUGCAGCUAAGGGACCUUCUCUCACAACUUGGUAGCAUCACCAGUGCCUGCUGUUGCCGAAGCAGCAUCAUGAACUGUCUGGGUGGAGAAAAAAAUAGCUUCCAGAUCUUCAUUCCAAAGCAUGAUCCUAGGUCUCCCCUUUAACCCAAAGUCAUCAAUUCAGCUAGACUGGCUGGCCAGUGAAGUCUAGGCAUCCUCCUGUCUCCACUCCAGCCCUAGGACAACAGACAUGAACUUCCUUCCCUGCUUGGCUUUUUCAAGUGAGUCCUAAGAAUACUGAAUUCGGGUCCUUCUGCUCAUGUGUGAAGCUCAUUCCCAUACAAGCCGGCUCGCCAGGCCCAUGGAGAGCAUUUUGAGUGUCACACACAGUGGUGGCACCAAAUGCUUCACAGAGCAUAAUCCUCUCAAGAGCUCCGGGAGACCAGGGUUGGACCGCGCAGCGCAAGGUUGUAAUCCCAGGAUAGGGGAGGCUGAAGCGAAGAACUCAUCAAAAGUUCAAGGUCAACCUAGGCUCUAUAGCGGGUUCAAGACUGGCCUGGGGUGCAUAGAGAAACCAGGGAACUCUACAGGGACCACACCAUAGACAAUGUUCCUCCAACCUCAUCCCAGUGAGAUCUCAAGCAUGGGCCCUAACCAUCUUCCG
rnacentral:lncRNA from 1 species